UACGGAGGGGGCUAGCGUUGUUCGGAAUUACUGGGCGUAAAGCGCACGUAGGCGGCUUUGCAAGUUAGAGGUGAAAGCCCGGAGCUUAACUCCGGAAUUGCCUUUAAAACUGCAUCGCUAGAAUUGUGGAGAGGUGAGUGGAAUUCCGAGUGUAGAGGUGAAAUUCGUAGAUAUUCGGAAGAGCACCAGUGGCGAAGGCGACUCACUGGACACAUAUUGACGCUGAGGUGCGAAAGCGUGGGGAGCAAACAGG
rnacentral:rRNA from 1 species